GGAGUGGGCCGGGCCGCCGCCGGCAUCCUUCGGGAUGCGGGAGGAAAGUCCGGGCUCCACAGGGCAGGGCGCCGGGUAACCCCCGGCGGGGGCGACCCCAGGGACAGUGCCACAGAGAGCAGACCGCCGGCCGGGAGCAAUCCGCCGGCAAGGGUGAAAGGGUGCGGUAAGAGCGCACCGCGCCUCCCGGUAACGGGAGGCGGCAUGGUAAACCCCGCCUGGAGCAAGACCGAAUAGAGGGGCACAUGGGAUGGCCCAUCCCGCCCCCGGGUAGGUUGCUUGAGGUGACCGGUAACGGUCAUCCUAGAGGAAUGGCGGCCAUCCCGGCUUGACGACCGGGAAACAGAACCCGGCUUACAGGCCCACUCCCUUU
rnacentral:RNase_P_RNA from 1 species